GAUGAACGCUGGCGGCGUGCCUAAUACAUGCAAGUCGAGCGAACAGACGAGGAGCUUGCUCCUCUGACGUUAGCGGCGGACGGGUGAGUAACACGUGGAUAACCUACCUAUAAGACUGGGAUAACUUCGGGAAACCGGAGCUAAUACCGGAUAAUAUAUUGAACCGCAUGGUUCAAUAGUGAAAGACGGUUUUGCUGUCACUUAUAGAUGGAUCCGCGCCGUAUUAGCUAGUUGGUAAGGUAACGGCUUACCAAGGCGACGAUGCGUAGCCGACCUGAGAGGGGGAUCGGCCACCCUGGAACUGAGACACGGUCCAGACUCCUACGGGAGGCAGCAGUAGGGAAUCUUCCGCAAUGGGCGAAAGCCUGACGGAGCAACGCCGCGUGAGUGAUGAAGGUCUUCGGAUCGUAAAACUCUGUUAUUAGGGAAGAACAAAUGUGGAAGUAACUAUGCACGUCUUGACGGUACCUAAUCAGAAAGCAACGGCUAACUACGUG
rnacentral:rRNA from 1 species